CGGGCGUCGGGCCGCGAGGGAGGGAGGGAGGAAGGAUGGGGAGGGGCGUAUCGAUUCAAACCCAAACAAUAACAAAGCCAUCAAAGGCCGCCCGCGGCCGGCUCCGCGGCUCUGUUUCUCGGAGGCUUUUGGGUCAGGGGCUCGAGCUGGAGCACAGCAAGUUGCGCAGAGACGACGGGCGUCGCUGGUGAAAGAAAAGCUCAGCCCCCAGAUUCUCGAGCCGCCGUUUGUGUGAAAAACGCAGAGAAGGACCAGUGAAUCCUGCUCGCCCAGAAGUGAUGUGUGCGGAGAGUGCCCGGUGAGGAGGAAUCACGAAACGAAUGUUGGUGUUAUGAUGCCAGAUGCUGUCUCAGCGCCUUCUGUGAGGGCGGGAGAGAGGAGAGCGGGGGGGGGGGAGGGUGCGCUUGGUUUAAUCAGAGUUUUCACGUUGUAUUCACCUUUCAUCAGCCUGUUAUUACCAGUCUGGCAAUACUAGCAAUUAUUGGCCGCACCGAGUCUUGUCUCAAAGGAGAUUGCCCCCCACCCCCCCCACACACACACACACACUCUCUCUGCCCCACCGUGGAAAUAACACGGAAAACAGGCCAAGUCCACUUUCAUCCUUUGUCCUUCUAAACUUCACGUAGAGUUGAUAACGACGUGUGAAAUGAGUAAAUUAAAAUUCUGUGUAAUCCAUAAAUUGAGCCGUCAGUGGCCUGAGUCCUUGAAAGCUAACUGCGUCCCAUUUUCAUCGUUUCCAAGUUCCUACCACGUAAAGAGAAAUGAGGUUCCAGGGUCUGUUAGAGCUGUGGUCGUUAAUGAAUGUGAAUAUUUCAUUAAAAGUUUUCUGCGGUGCCUGUUGCGGAAAGAUGUUGCCCCCAUAUUUCACAGCUUUUGUGAACCUGUCUUAUAAAAUACUGCAUUUUCCUUUUGUUGGUGUCCUGGGGCCUAACUCUUCAUUUUUGAUGACUAGGAGAAAACCCAAGAGAAGAAGGAUUCCCUUUUCACAGCUGGGAAAAUGAAACAUAAGUCGGAUGACACAGGGUCACACAACAGCUAAAGGAGGAAGAGAUGAAACGGCCCCAAAUCAACCCAGAGUAUUUAAAGAUUUCCCAUUAAUCAGGAUCUCAAACUUUCCUUGGUACCGAGUAAGACAACUAGGGUAAAAGGACGCGCGACCCAGCACUUCCAAUGCUCUUUACCUUCUCCCUCCUUCAAGCCCUGCGUCUCCACAUGCUCCCACUCACCUAUCACUUUCCAGACACUGCCUUUGCAGAGGCAGUCAGCCUGUUCUGAGGAUGCCCUCCCCUCUUCACUUGUAUUUAAAGCUUUCCUAGCCUUCAGGAGGACCCGACUGUUAGAUAACUCCAAGGAUUCUUCACUGUCCACUCUGCUCAUCCGGCAAUCAUGUGUUUGGCUUUUUACUUCUUAAAAUCUCUUCGUUAAUUAACUUAUCAAUUAUUUAUACCUUGCUGCCCUCUUCCUUGACACAUAUUCUUCUGUUGUCCAGCAUCUCUUGAACAAUGUGCGUUACUGGAGGGGAAGACCAAAAUGAGUCACAACAAAAAGGUCAUGAUUAAAGUCAUUUUAUACCAAAUUUAAGUGAGUUAAGAGGGCUUGGGCAAAAUAAAAGAAAGGUUAGUGCAAAAAAAAAAAAAAAAAAAAAAAA